CUUUGGGUCUGAAAUGGCAGAGUGGGAGUUGAAGGGACAUCUCCGUGGAAACCAGGCUCCCAGGAAGUGGCCAGAGGGGUUACUGUGGGGUGAAAUAAAGCUUAGAAAUAUGUCAUGAAGUGCUUUGCGCAGCUGGGGUAAAAUUCUGAAGUACCUUAAUUAAAACAAGCCAAGUUAAAGGCCCCACACCACUUCCCUCGUGGUUGUUCUUUGAGUAUCUUUACCGUGAAAUGGGCCUGAGCCACUCUAAGCCUCACCCUAGAGUGACCAAAGUAGCACCUUUGCAAAACAAAGAGGAAGAACUCCCCUCUUCCAGCCCCGUGGACUUUGCAUUCAGUCAGAAUCUGGAAGAAAAGAGUUCGUAUUUGUUCACAGGACUGCAGGACCAGAACAAAGCUCUGGAAGGUCAGCUGCCGCCUCUACGAGAGACCUGGUAUGGAAGAUACUCUGCAGUGCCCAGGGCCAUGUAUUUUGAUAUCCCACUGGAACACGGAGAAACAAGUAUUAUUAAAAGGCAUCCACCCCGAAGACUUCAAAAGCUUGAACCCAUUGACCUGCCACAAGUAAUUACUUCUGAAAGGCUCCUGAGCCAGCAAGAAGCCAGAACAACUCACAGAGCAAAGCAGGAACUGGAAAAGACAAUGCCAACUCCAGGAUACAUUCCCGGGAAAAGACAAUAUUUACAUAAGAUGAGAAUGUUGGAAAUGAACCGGAACAGACAAGAGGCCCAAGCAGAGUUGAAAAACAGUCUUCACAGGGAGGCAAGGAUUAAUAAGCAAAAACCGAGGGACCAUAAAGCCAAGAAAAUCCUUCAAAGCAUCCCAAGAAAUGAUGGCAGGGACCUUCCAACCUUUUUGCCAGAUGAAACCUUGAACAGAAGUCCAGACCCGCUUCCUGGCUUUGGUGCCUAUGCAAUAGUACAGACAACAAACAAUGACAGUACAUCCGGGAGACCUCACAACCUGAAAGUCAGAAGGUUUCCAUGAGGAACUGAUAUUUGAGCUGAGACAGGAAGUAGCUGGACAAAGGGGACAGGAAUCCAUAUCUGUGUGAGGACCAAGGUGCUGGAACAUUCAGAACUGUUCACGAUUAUAGCAUGCGCAAAAGCUCUUGACUGGGAAGAGAGAUUCAGGAAAUUCACAGAAUGAAGAUUUGGGGGAACAUCAAGCAAGGAAUGACUGUCGCCCCCGGAAAAUUGGCAAAAUGGAAAUGUGGCUCCGUGAACAAGAGGCUCGGGG